rnacentral:tRNA from 1 species
CCGUGGCUCAGUUGGUAGAGCGACGCAUUCGUAAUGCGUAGGUCGCCGGUUCGAGUCCGGCCG